AGUUUGAUUCUGGCUCAGAUUGAACGCUGGCGGGAUGCUUUACACAUGCAAGUCGAACGGCAGCACGAACUUCGGUCUGGUGGCGAGUGGCGAACGGGUGAGUAAUGUAUCGGAACGUGCCCUAGUAGCGGGGGAUAACCACAUGAAAGCGUAGCUAAUACCGCAUACGCCCUUCGGGGGAAAGCGGGGGACCUUCGGGCCUCGCGGCCAGCCGAUAUCCGGAUUAGCUAGUUGGUGGGGUAACGGCUCACCAAGGCGACGAUCCGUAGCUGGUUUGAGAGGACGACCAGCCACACUGGGACUGAGACACGGCCCAGACUCCUACGGGAGGCAGCAGUGGGGAAUUUUGGACAAUGGGGGAAACCUGAUCCAGCCAUCCCGCGUGUGCGAUGAAGGCCUUCGGGUUGUAAAGCACUUUUGGCAGGAAAGAAACGGCACGGGAUAUUACCCGUGCAACUGACGGUACCGCAGAAUAGCUGCGGUAACUACGUGCCAGCAGCCGCGGUAAUACGUAGGGUGCAAGCGUUAAUCGGAAUUACUGGGCGUAAAGCGUGCGCAGGCGGUUCGGAAGAAAGAUGUGAAAUCCCAGAGCUUAACUUUGGAACUGCAUUUUUAACUACCGAGCUAGAGUGUGUCAGAGGAGGUGGAAUUCCCGCGUGUAGCAGUGAAAUGCGUAGAUAUGCGGAGGAACACCGAUGGCGAAGGCAGCCUCCUGGGAUAACACUGACGCUCAUGCACGAAAGCGUGGGGAGCAAACAGGAUUAGAUACCCUGGUAGUCCACGCCCACAAACGAUGUCAACUAGCUGUUGGGGCCUUCCGGGCCUUGGUAGCGCAAUAACGCGUGAAGUUGACCGCCUGGGGAAUACCCGGUCGCAAGAUUAAAACUCAAAGGAAUUGACGGGGACCCGCACAAGCGGUGGAUGAUGUGGAUUAAUUCGAUGCAGCGAAAAACCUUACCUACCCUUGACAUGUCUGGAAUCCCGAAGAGAUUUGGGAGUGCUCGCAAGAGAACCGGAACACAGGUGCUGCAUGGCUGUCGUCAGCUCGUGUCGUGAGAUGUUGGGUUAAGUCCCGCAACGAGCGCAACCCUUGUCAUUAGUUGCUACGAAAGGGCACUCUAAUGAGACUGCCGGUGACAAACCGGAGGAAGGUGGGGAUGACGUCAAGUCCUCAUGGCCAUAUGGGUAGGGCUUCACACGUCAUACAAUGGUCAGGACAGAGAGGUCGCCAACCCGCGAGGGGAGCCAAUCCCAGAAACCCGAUCGUAGUCCGGAUCGCAGUCUGCAACUCGACUGCGUGAAGUCCGAAUCGCUAGUAAUCGCGGAUCAGCAUGUCGCGGUGAAUACGUUCCGGGUCUUGUACACACCGCCCGUCACACCAUGGGAGUGGGUUUUACCAGAAGUAGUUAGCCUAGCCGUAAGGAGGGCGAUUACCACGGUAAGUUCAUGACUGGGGUGAAGUCGUAAUAGACAAAA
rnacentral:rRNA from 1 species